AUUGAACGCUGGCGGCGUGCUUUACACAUGCAAGUCGGACGAGUGGCGAACGGGUGAGUAACGCAUCGGAACGUCCCGAGUAAUGGGGGAUAACUGUCCGAAAGGACAGCUAAUACCGCAUAUUAUUCGAGCGGCCGCUGGCGGAUUAGCUGGUUGGCGGGGUAAAGGCACACCAAGGCGACAAUCAGUAGCGGGUCUGAGAGGAUGAUCAGCAACACUGGGACUGAGACACGGCCCAGACUCCUACGAGAGGCAGCAGUGGGGAAUUUUGGGCAAUGGACGAAAGCCUGAUCCAGCCAUGCCGCGUGUCUGAAGAAGGCUUUCGGGUUGUAAAGGACUUUUGUCAGGGAAGCGGUACCUGAAGAAAAAGCAACGGCUAACUACGUGCCAGCAGCCGCGGUAAUUC
rnacentral:rRNA from 1 species